rnacentral:rRNA from 1 species
GCGAAGUCGCAAGACGAUGUAUAUGGACUGACGCCUGCCCGGUGCUGGAAGGUUAAAAGGAGAGGUGAGAGCUUUGAAUUGAAGCCCCAGUAAACGGCGGCCGUAACUAUAACGGUCCUAAGGUAGCGAAAUUCCUUGUCGGGUAAGUUCCGACCCGCACGAAAGGCGUAAUGAUUUGGAUACUGUCUCGGAGAGAGGCUCGGUGAAAUAGACUUGUCUGUGAAGAUGCGGACUACCUGCACCUGGACAGAAAGACCCUAUGAAGCUUUACUGUAACUUGAAAUUGAAAUUGGACUUUAUUCGCGCAGUAUAGGUGGGAGGCGUUGAGAAUACUCUUGCGGGAGUAUAGGAGCUAUUAGUGAGAUACCACUCUUAUAAUGUUAGGUUUCUAACUUUGAACCAUUAUCUGGUCAAAGAACAGUUUCAGGCGGGCAGUUUGACUGGGGCGGUCGCCUCCCAAAUGGUAACGGAGGCGUACAAAGGUUUCCUCUGAACGGAUAGAAAUCGUAUCUAGAGUAUAAAGGCAUAAGGAAGCUUGACUGUGAGACCUACAAGUCGAGCAGGGACGAAAGUCGGUCUUAGUGAUCUGACGGUACUGAGUGGAAAGGCCGUCACUCAACGGAUAAAAGUUACUCUAAGGAUAACAGGCUGAUCUCCCCCAAGAGUUCACAUCGACGGGGAGGUUUGGCACCUCGAUGUCGGCUCAUCGCAUCCUGGGGCUGAAGGCGGUCCCAAGGGUUAGGCUGUUCGCCUAUUAAAGCGGUACGCGAGCUGGGUUCAGACCGGCGUGAGCCAGGUCGGUCCCUAUCUGUCGUGGGCGCUGCACAUUUGAGAGGAGUCUUCCUUAGUACGAGAGGAUUAGGAAGGACGAACCCCUGGUGAUCCAGCUGUCGCGCUAGCGGCACCGCUGGGUAGCUAAGUUCGGCAGGGAUAACCGCUGAAAGCAUCUAAGUGGGAAGCCCAUCACAAGAUAAGACUUCUAUUAAGACAACUUGUAGACUACGAGUUUGAUAGGUCAGAGGUGUAAGUGCAGUAAUGUAUUGAGC